rnacentral:rRNA from 1 species
UGGGGAAUAUUGGACAAUGGGCGCAAGCCUGAUCCAGCAAUGCCGCGUGUGUGAAGAAGGCCUUCGGGUUGUAAAGCACUUUUGUCCGGAAAGAAAUCCUUGGCUCUAAUACAGUCGGGGGAUGACGGUACCGGAAGAAUAAGCACCGGCUAACUACGUGCCAGCAGCCGCGGUAAUACGUAGGGUGCAAGCGUUAAUCGGAAUUACUGGGCGUAAAGCGUGCGCAGGCGGUUUGCUAAGACCGAUGUGAAAUCCCCGGGCUCAACCUGGGAACUGCAUUGGUGACUGGCAGGCUAGAGUAUGGCAGAGGGGGGUAGAAUUCCACGUGUAGCAGUGAAAUGCGUAGAGAUGUGGAGGAAUACCGAUGGCGAAGGCAGCCCCCUGGGCCAAUACUGACGCUCAUGCACGAAAGCGUGGGGAGCAAACAGGAUUAGAUACCCUGGUAGUCCACGCCCUAAACGAUGUCAACUAGUUGUUGGGGAUUCAUUUCCUUAGUAACGUAGCUAACGCGUGAAGUUGACCGCCUGGGGAGUACGGUCGCAAGAUU